GAUGAACGCUGGCGGCUUGCCUAACACAUGCAAGUCGAACGGAGUCAUUUUGGAAACCUCUUCGGAACUGGAAUCUAUGACUUAGUGGCGGACGGGUGAGUAACGCGUGAGCAAUCUGCCUUUCAGAGGGGGAUAACAGCCGGAAACGGCUGCUAAUACCGCAUAAUGCAUUGGAUUCGCAUGUUUCUGAUGCCAAAGAUUUUAUCGCUGAAAGAUGAGCUCGCGUCUGAUUAGCUAGUUGGCGGGGUAACGGCCCACCAAGGCGACGAUCAGUAGCCGGACUGAGAGGUUGAACGGCCACAUUGGGACUGAGACACGGCCCAGACUCCUACGGGAGGCAGCAGUGGGGAAUAUUGCGCAAUGGGGGCAACCCUGACGCAGCAACGCCGCGUGAUUGAUGAAGGUCUUCGGAUUGUAAAAAUCUUUAAUCAGGGACGAAGAAAAUGACGGUACCUGAAGAAUAAGCUCCGGCUAACUACGUGCCAGCAGCCGCGGUAAUACGUAGGGAGCAAGCGUUAUCCGGAUUUACUGGGUGUAAAGGGCGUGUAGGCGGGCUUGCAAGUUGGAAGUGAAAUCUCGGGGCUUAACCCCGAAACUGCUUUCAAAACUGCGAGUCUUGAGUGAUGGAGAGGCAGGCGGAAUUCCCAGUGUAGCGGUGAAAUGCGUAGAUAUUGGGAGGAACACCAGUGGCGAAGGCGGCCUGCUGGACAUUAACUGACGCUGAGGCGCGAAAGCGUGGGGAGCAAACAGG
rnacentral:rRNA from 1 species